GAUCUGUGAUUGGGUCAGGGUCGAAGGCCUAAAUGUUAGUGCUUAUGAAGAUCCAUAUGUGUUCAUUGCAUCUGCGAAUCAAGCUCCACUAAUUUCAAAAUCUGUAGAAAACAACUAGUAUUGGGAUGUAGAUCAGGAAAUAAGAUAAAACCAAGGAUUUCAGAACUGUCAUCGAGAACUUUGUUGACCUUGCUGGUAGGGGAAGAGCUACUCAGACACAUGCAUACUGGCUAGGCUAAGGGAAGGUAGCCACAUUAACCUUAUUCUAAUGACUCCGACUACUGUAAUCAUAAACA